AUUGAGCAAGCUAGUAGUUUGAGAUCUUAGAUAUUGGUACGUUGCAUCAGGAUCUUAGAAUUUAACUGCAUAAUUAAGCAUAUAAUUAAGUAGUACGCACAUACAGAUAACUUGAAUAAUUAUUUGCGAUCUUAACUAAUUAGCUAGAUAGGUAGGUAGAUUAGCUACUUCUCUGCUACGUCAAUCAUAACAACGCAGAAGAAGAUACACUUGAUCAAUGAAGUGACGAAGAAACCAGGAGCUUCAAUUGUCUUUCUUUUUUUAUUCAUCAUUCUCCUCCUCUUGCUGUUCCUCCUCGUCCUCUUGUACUCAGCAACCACUUCAUCUUGGGAUUUCUGCAGUUGCAGUCUCUUUGUCUCGAACCAGUUUUGAAUCUUAUCUGCAACUCUCUCCGGCGAUUUACCUAGCUUGACGAACCUGUUCUUUCUCGGUCUCUCCACGUCCAAAAAGCUCUCUGCGAUGUUGGCAAUCAUCAUCGAUUUGAAGUGAUGUUCGCACAUACAUUUUCGUUUUAUGGACACGGGGAUGGCGAUUAU
rnacentral:lncRNA from 1 species